ensembl:lincRNA
ACGAGUCAUCCCCAGUGCACUGGUCUUCCCGAAUAAACCUCUUGCAGUUUGCAUCAAGACUGUUUCUCGUUGCCAAAGGAUCCGAGAAGGUGAAGACUUCCUGGAUUCUCUUCACUUGAUGAACUUGUUGCAGUCUUGCAGUUUUUCUCCUUUCUCUGAACCAGCAGCUCCAAAGAGCAGCUUGCAUAAUGUGCAAGGAGAUAUUCUCCAAGGAGCAGUUUGUACACACAGCCACUAAGCAUGCAGACGAGUCCACACAUUUCCCUGAGAUAGAACCUUCUCUGAUGAUGGCUAAGCAAGAUGCCAAUUGAGUUGUUGGCCACCAUGGAAAUUCAAACUACUCAGGCCACUGACAAGACUAUUGGUUGCUCUUUACAAACUGAUGAACUGUUGGGACAAAAAUGGAGAAGAGAUUGAAGACAGGAGCCUCGCAUGGCUGGCCUCUGAGAGGCUCUACCAGUAGCUGACUGAGAUGGGCACAGAAACUUUCACCAAUCACUGGACUGAAGUCAAGGACCCCUAUGGCUGAAUUAGGAUAAGGUCUGAAGAAGCUGAAGGGGAGGAUGAUCCCAUAGGAAGACCAGCAGUCUCAACCCCAGGGAGCUCUUAGAGACUGAGCCACCCACCAGUCACUGUACUUGGGCUAGCAGAAUACUGCUUGGUUUGGCCUCAGUGGGAGAAGAGGCUGCAGGGAAGGGGGUGACCUGGUGGUGGGGAGAAACACCCUCUAGGAGGCAAGAGGGAGGAGGAGUGUGUUGAGGAACUGUGGAAAGAAGAACUCAGACGGGGGAACAACGGCUGGAAUGUAAAUAAAUAAAAUACUUUUUAAAAAUUGACAUCAUGAAAUUUGCAGGCAAAUGGAUGGCUCUAGAAAAAAAUCUUCCUGGGUGAGGUAACCCAUACCCAGAAAGAUCAUUCAUUUAUAGGUGGAUAUUAUCCAUUAAAUAAAUGAUAACCAAGCUACAAUCUAUAGACCCAGAGAGGUUAGGUAAAGAGAACGAGUUUAGAGGAAUUCAGGAACCUGCCUGGGAGGGGGAAAUUCAAUAGAUUUUUGUGGCAGACUGUGGGCAGGUGGUGAUGGGAGUGGGAGGAAUCAGGUGAAGGGAAGUUGGGGUAGAGGGGAAGAGUAUGAAGAGAGAUGGCAGCUAUUGGGGUGGAAUUUGGAAGAUGAUAUGAAAACCUAGUACAGUAGAAACUUCCUGGAAUUUAUGAAGGUGAAUGUAAUGAGAACUCCUAGUAAUGAGGGAUAUGGAGUCUCAACAAGCCUUCUCUUGUUGUCAAGUAAGGUUUCUAGUGUUGGAACUAGGUUGCAGUGAGUUGAGUUGUUGGUCAAGGGAGUGUCAUAAAAAUCCCCAAACAAAACUGCUAUUGCUAAGACAAAGACAGUCUUCAAACUGACAGCAGGGACCCCAAUGCUGAGCACAACACCCACACAAUUCACUGAACAUGGAAAAGUAGAGCUGGUUCCUACAUGAAGCCUUUGCCUCAAUAUUCUAUGUCUGUGGUAUUGGACAGUACUCUGGCAGACUACCAAUAGAGAAACAUGGACACCAACCCAGACACAAAACCUUUGACCUAAAAGUCUGUAGGAUAUAGGAAUACCCUUAGUGCACACCUUUAAUCCCAAACAAUGAAAGUAAGGUGAGUUUAUAGAAAGAAGCAGCCAUGUUUGAAAGUGACAUUGAAUUGAUGGGCAGACAAAGUGACAAGUCAGAGAAAGAUUUGACAGAAUAAAUGAGAAUAAACCCAACUUUUAUGAGAGCACACAGAAAAGAGAGGGUAGACACAGGUAGUGGUGAUGUGUAUGUAUGGCAGGUUUUACUGGGACAGUUUUAUAGAGACAGGUUGCAGGUAAAGACAGAAUAGGGCAGAAAAUGAGAAAAAAAUCAGAAGAUUAGAACAGAAUGCCUGAGUUAGUUUGAGGGCAAGCAGAGCAAUUCAGUCACAAGCCAAGUUUUUAUCAGUCAGGAGAGGAGUUUUGAGCAAGAACAGCUGAGUUCAGAGUUCAGAAAGAACUAGAAAGGGCACUCUCAUUCAACGUUAAACCUCUGAGAUGACAAUCACAUUGGGUGAAUAAAAGUUACUUUUACAACAAUCUAUAUUGCCUGCAAAAUAUGCUAGGACAAUGGUGGCACAGAACUUGUAGGUGUGGCCAACUAAUGUCUGAUUUGACCUAAAGCCCACUCCAUGAGAUGGGACCUAUACCUGACAAUGCUUGGGCAACAAAGAACUAGAGAUUAGAUAACACAAAGACCUAUGGUGAAACCAAACAUUGUUGGUAUAAAGUAACUCAAUAAAAUGAUAUUUGGCUAUACUCAUAGACCAGUGCCUUUUCAAGUCAUCCUCAGAACUGCUUUCUCCAGCAGCAGAUGGGUACAGAUGCAGAGACCCAUGGCCAGACAUUAUGUGAACAGAGAGUCUAACUUGGAGGUUUCCAUCAAAUCCCUGCCCUCAGAGAUCAGGGAAUCUUUCAGAAAAGGUGGCAGAAAGAUUGCAAGUACCAGGGGGAUGGAAGAUACCAGGAGAAUAAGGCCCUCUGAAUUAACUAAGCAAGGCACAUACGAUCUUAAAGAGAUUCAAGCAGCAAACACUGGGCUGACAUGGGUCUGUACGAGGUCCUCUGCAUAUAUAUUAUAUCUAAUAACUUAGCUUUUGUAUGUAACUCCUGACUGUGAGAACAAAUAUGUCUCUGCUCUUAGGACUCUUUUCCUCCUCUGGGUUGCUGUGUUCAGCUUUGAUAUGAUAGCUUUUGCUUCAUCUUAUUAUAGAUUAUUUUGUUUUGUUAGGUUGCUAUCUCUUAGAAGUCUCUUUUUUUCUAUUGACAAUAAAGGAGUGGAUCUGGAAAACAGGGGAGGUGGGCAGGAACUGGGAGCAAUAGGAGAAAAAAACUAUAAGGAGGAUAUAUUGUAUGGGAAAAGGAUCUAUUUUUAAAUAAAAGUAAAAAUAUAUGAAAAAUAAAUUCAUUAGGUCAAAUAUAACAAAAGG